AACGAACGCUGGCGGCAUGCCUAACACAUGCAAGUCGAACGAAAUCUUCGGGUCUAGUGGCGCACGGGUGCGUAACGCGUGGGAACCUGCCCUUAGGUUCGGAAUAACUCCCCGAAAGGGGUGCUAAUACCGGAUAAUGUCUUCGGACCAAAGAUUUAUCGCCUUUGGAUGGGCCCGCGUUUGAUUAGCUAGUUGGUAAGGUAAAAGCCUACCAAGGCGACGAUCCAUAGCUGGUCUGAGAGGAUGAUCAGCCACACUGGGACUGAGACACGGCCCAGACUCCUACGGGAGGCAGCAGUGGGGAAUCUUGCGCAAUGGGCGAAAGCCUGAUGCAGCCAUGCCGCGUGAAUGAUGAAGGUCUUAGGAUUGUAAAACUCUUUUACCCGGGACGAUAAUGACGGUACCGGGAGAAGAAGCCCCGGCUAACUCCGUG
rnacentral:rRNA from 1 species